UAUAUCAAAUCUGAUUUUAUACUAUAGUUAACAAAUCAAGCUAAUUUAAGUAGAUUAAAAUCAUCAGAGAAGGUAUAUUAAUUUUUUUUAAAAAUAUAAACUUGCAAAUUAGUUUCUUAUGUUUAGGAAACGCAACAAAAAUUUGCCAUGUUUCUGAUAAAUGAACAAUACAUAGUGACAUUUUUCAAAAUAGUAGAUGAUUUUAUUUCUCUUGGAAUGAGAUAUAUCGUUGAUUGAUGAAUUUUGUUUAAAUCGAAAUUGCGAUGUGCGGAUGAGGAUUGUUUUCUCUCUCUCUCUCUCUCUCUCUCUCUCUCUCUCUCUCUCUCUCUCUUAUUUUUCUUAUUUUUGUUUUCGCGCUAAUAAGUGCGUGGCGACCUUUAAACGACGUAAUGGAAAUGUCCCGUAUACUGAAGAUGAAUAUACAGACAGAAACGUCGCGUCGUAGAGAAAGGAGAGAAAGGAAAAGAGAAACGGAGAAUGCUCCACGGAAUAAUACGUAAUGCGAGAUACGCUUGCUCGGAUACGUCGUGAGAAGAAACGCGACGUGCAUUCUACUCCUUCGUACAUUUAACUAUAUGUUCGUACAAGUGCAUAUACGUAUAUGUGAUUGAAAGAGU